UACGAAGGGGGCUAGCGUUAAUCGGAAUUACUGGGCGUAAAGCGUGCGCAGGCGGUUGUGUAAGACAGAUGUGAAAUCCCCGGGCUCAACCUGGGAACUGCAUUUGUGACUGCACAGCUGGAGUGCGGCAGAGGGGGAUGGAAUUCCGCGUGUAGCAGUGAAAUGCGUAGAUAUGCGGAGGAACACCGAUGGCGAAGGCAAUCCCCUGGGCCUGCACUGACGCUCAUGCACGAAAGCGUGGGGAGCAAACAGG
rnacentral:rRNA from 1 species